AUGCAAGCCACCUGGGAAAUAAAUGGGAAUUAUGAAAAAUUUGAAGUGACAAUUAUAAGUGCUGAUGCAAAGGAUAUUCAGUCAUAUAAUACUACAAACAAGGAUUACACUUUCACUAAUCUGAAGGCAGGAGUGUUUUACACUGUUUCAGUUGUCACUCUUAAUGGUGACCUUACAAGUGUACCUGCUAAUAAGUCAGAUUACACCCGGCCUGCUAAACCUCGUGAUGUAAAGGCCACCGCUAUCAAAAAUAACAUACAGCUAAGCUGGGGUGCUCCAGUUGAGUCUGAGGGUGCCUUGAUUCAAUAUAUAGUGAAAUAUAACACUUCUUUCUGGGAUGAAACUAAUGAAAUAAAUACAACUGAGACAAAGCUCAUAAGUCAAGUCACCUUUAUUUAUAUAGCGCUUUUUACAAUACAGAUUUAUCAAAGCACUUUACAGUAGUAAAUAGGAAAAUAGUGUGUCAAUAAUGCAAA
ensembl:lncRNA